GCAACUCUAAAAAGCAAAAAAUAAAUAAAUAAAUAAAUAAAAUCAAUCAAGCUGUCAUGAUAUAUGAUUUUUAACGUUCUAGGAGGUUAGGAAAAAGAAGAUGAGGAAUGAGAAAGAGAACCUCUAAAUUGAUCAUUAUCCAUGUGUAAGGAGGGGAUUUCUAAUUUUCAAUGAAAAUAAUUUUCAGCAAUUCUAAGAGCAAACUGGGGAAGUGCUUGCUUUGUGAAAAAUAGCUUUAGGUGAAAUGACUUGUGAGAGGGUGGGGCCUGUUGAAAGAAUUAUAGCAGAUGUGAAUUUAAGUCAGAGCUCAAACUCACUGAGAAGACCAGAAGUUGACCUGAGGUGUCACAGAAGACCAGAAGUUUCACUGAGCUUUGGUGCCAGGAACAAUGGACAAGAGUUGGGGAGCAUCAUUUUUGGUUCUGUGGCUUCAACUAGGCUGGGUGAGCGGCCAACAGAAGGAAAAAAGGGACCAGCAGCAGGUGAAACAGAGCUCUCAACCUUUGACAGUCCAGGAAGGAGACAUUUCAAUUCUGAACUGUACUUAUGAGAACAGUGCCUUUGACUACUUCCCAUGGUACCGGCAACAUCCUGGCAAAGGACCUGAAUUAUUGAUCGCAGCACGUUCUAGUUCAAUUGCAAAGGAAGAUGGAAGAUUGAGAGUUUCCCUCAGUCAAAGUGCCAAACAUGUGUCCUUGCACAUCAACGCUUCCCAGCCUGGAGACUCAGCCACCUACUUCCGUGCAGCAAGUGCAAAUGCUCUCCAGGCACCUGCAGCCUAUACCCAUCCUGCAGCUGAGGCUCCAGCCAAACCCUGCUGUGUAGAUGAAACAGUCACACACACAACCACCCGCACAGACAUACACACCAUUUGGUCAUAAAGAACUCACAGUACAUUUUUUUCUUUGCUAUUUUAGAGCCACACUCAU